rnacentral:rRNA from 1 species
UACGAAGGGGGCUAGCGUUGCUCGGAAUCACUGGGCGUAAAGCGCACGUAGGCGGCUUCUUAAGUCAGGGGUGAAAUCCUGGAGCUCAACUCCAGAACUGCCUUUGAUACUGAGAGGCUUGAGUCCGGGAGAGGUGAGUGGAACUGCGAGUGUAGAGGUGAAAUUCGUAGAUAUUCGGAAGAACACCAGUGGCGAAGGCGGCUCACUGGACAUGUAUUGACGCUGAGGCACGAAGGCCAGGGGAGCAAACGGG